UACGUAGGGGGCAAGCGUUGUCCGGAAUUAUUGGGCGUAAAGAGCUCGUAGGCGGUCUGUCGCGUCUGCUGUGAAAACUCAGGGCUUAACCCUGAGCUUGCAGUGGGUACGGGCAGACUAGAGUGCGGUAGGGGAGACUGGAAUUCCUGGUGUAGCGGUGAAAUGCGCAGAUAUCAGGAGGAACACCGGUGGCGAAGGCGGGUCUCUGGGCCGUAACUGACGCUGAUGCGCGAAAGCUAGGGGAGCGAACGGG
rnacentral:rRNA from 1 species